UACGUAGGGGGCAAGCGUUGUCCGGAUUUAUUGGGCGUAAAGAGCGUGUAGGCGGUCAUGUAGGUCCGUUGUGAAAACUCGAGCUCAACCUCGAGACGCCGAUGGAAACCAUGUGACUAGAGUCCGGAAGAGGAGAGUGGAAUUCCUGGUGUAGCGGUGAAAUGCGCAGAUAUCAGGAAGAACACCCGUGGCUAAGGCGGCUCUCUAGUACGGUACUGACGCUGAGACGCGAAAAGCGUGGGGAGCGAACAGG
rnacentral:rRNA from 1 species